GACGAAGGAUGCAAGCGUUAUCCGGAUUCAUUGGGUUUAAAGGGAGCGUAGGUGGCCUUAUAAGUCAGUGGUGAAAUCUCUCGGCUUAACCGAGAAAUUGCCAUUGAUACUGUAGGGCUUGAGUACAGAUGCCGUUGGCGGAAUAUGACAUGUAGUGGUGAAAUACAUAGAGAUGUCAUAGAACACCGAUUGCGAAGGCAGCUGACGAAACUGUAACUGACACUGAGGCUCGAAAGUGUGGGGAUCAAACAGG
rnacentral:rRNA from 1 species